AACGAACGCUGGCGGCAUGCCUAACACAUGCAAGUCGAACGAACCCUUCGGGGUUAGUGGCGCACGGGUGCGUAACGCGUGGGAAUCUGCCCUUUGCUUCGGAAUAACAGUUAGAAAUGACUGCUAAUACCGGAUGAUGUCGCAAGACCAAAGAUUUAUCGGCAAAGGAUGAGCCCGCGUAAGAUUAGGUAGUUGGUGGGGUAAUGGCCUACCAAGCCGACGAUCUUUAGCUGGUCUGAGAGGAUGAUCAGCCACACUGGGACUGAGACACGGCCCAGACGCCUACGGGAGGCAGCAGUGGGGAAUAUUGGACAAUGGGCGAAAGCCUGAUCCAGCAAUGCCGCGUGAGUGAUGAAGGCCUUAGGGUUGUAAAGCUCUUUUACCAGGGAUGAUAAUGACAGUACCUGGAGAAUAAGCUCCGGCUAACUCCGUGCCAGCCGCCGCAGUAAAAC
rnacentral:rRNA from 1 species